UCCCAAGGGUCCCGCCUCCUAAUCCCAUCACCUCGAGGGUUAGAAUUUCAACAUCGGACCAUGGUGCCAGUCUGUGGGCAGUGUUGGCCCCAUCCCUCUACUCCAAGAUCUUUCUCUCUCUCACCUCGGGAUUUCCAAGGGGGAAAUGGCUGCCUAGGAGGCUUAAAGACUCAGUCUAGCAGAGGCUGUCCCUGCCCCACCUCCGUCCUCAAAGCCCACUAAGGGUCUCCUGCAGUUUACCAUGCUGUGGCUCUCUCCCAGGGACUUUCUCUGUUUGGUUGCAGGCAGGGGAAUUAAUGCUGCAGUGAUUCCAGCUUCCUGGUUCCUUAGUGGUGCCAGUCUGAGGUGUAUGCAAUGCAGAAUCUCGAGGAUCCCUUUGCCCAGAAAAGGGAACCAUGGCCCAAGAUGGAGCUGGCUGCUGGGUCACAGUCACCUCUCAGGGACAAGGCCUCCAGAUCCUCUCCUGCUUGGCCAAGAGCCCAGGCCAGGGUGUAAGCAAGAGGAAUAAAGGUCUCCAGUCUGCAGAGGCUCCUGGGCAAAUGGACCAGCACAGAGCCAGCGCCAGCCCUCCUCCCUGGAAGGGGCAGCAACAGGAUGAGGGGCGUGGCUUCCCGACCUCCUGUGUCCAGAGUGAUGGGGAGGACCCCAGAUGUUCACCCUUGAAGAGCCCAGGCCAGAGGAAAGAUGGGCCCAUCUUAGAGCCACCACACACAAGCAUGCUAAGUAGCAGCUGUGGACACUUCUUGCUGAUGAGCCGAACUCUCAGGGCUGAUUGCCCAGGAGGUGGGGGCUGAUUCCUGGGCUGCUGCAGUGGGUGUUGGUGACAGUGGCCCCCUCGAGCCCCAGCAGGUAUCUCCGCAUCUACCUGGGCAGCUGGGCACACCUGCAGCCAGCAGAUAUCAGUGGGCACCUUGGGCCAUCCCAAGGGGCAGAUGACCAGCCCAGGGGGCCUCUGCACAGCCACAGUACCCCAGGGGAAAUCUACAGACGGUGGAUGGUGACUAGGACUCACGACUGGGAAGAGCAAUGGGCAGAGGCAGCAUUUCCAAAGGAUGGAAACUUGGGGGUCUGGCCAGGCCCAGCAGCCAUGUGUCUGGCCAGUCUACCUUUUUAAAGAUGAGAUGUGCUCAGAUAACAAUGCAAACCUCACCAGAACCUUGGCCCCUUUUCCUCCUAGUGACCUGCAGCAUUUGGGCUGGUGUCUGAGAGAUUGCUGAGGCACCUGAACUAACCUGGGCCCGAACUGUGAUGGUGGCAGAGUUGACUUUGAGGCUCCCUCUUAUCCUUCAAGGCCUAGCUGCAAUGCCACCACAUCCUAGAAGCCUCCCCUGAUGUCCUCAGGCAGAACAGCCUUUCACCCUUUCUGUGUCCAUAUUGCAUCCUCUUCAUACUUUUAUUCCGAUAUUUAUCACGUGGAAUUGCAGUCUUUUCUCCUCUAGGUCUGUCUGUCAUUCCUGAUGGAUAGGAGCUUUUUGAGGGCAAGGCCUGGCCUGCUUGUCUUAUCCUUUCCGUGCCUGGCAUAGGGCCUGUCCAGGGUGAUGCUCCAGGUUUGCCCAAUGAGGGAAUGAGCAGGUGGAUGAAUAAAUGAGCUCUCCCCUCUCGGGAUGGGCUCUGUUUUGCCCCUCCUGCCGUCCCACCUCUCAAUUUCAGGUUGAAUAAGCUACUCUCUCAGCCUGCUCAGGGCUCAAAGUCCUCAAAUUCAAAACGCAAAGCAGGCAGCUGCCCCACCCCUGUAGCCCUGCGCCUCUCAGCUGGCUCUCUUCGGGCGUGUCCCCUGCCACUUUGUGUGGUUCAUCCACUACUUGCUGCUGAGACAUUAAUGCACCUCAGGGGUCAGUGGAGCCCAGUGACCAUGCUGGGAACAGAGCAAGGCAAUUCCAAUUUCAUGCCUAUAUGGGCUUCCCUCUAUGAAGACAAAGAGUGGGAACACAGCUUUCUUUUUUAAAUAUUUCUUCCAGAAAACAGGCAAAGGUAUUGUGCAGCAGAGGCUUAUGUAGAAAUGCUAGCAGGCAGUGAGGGGGCAGGUGGUUCCCAUGAGACAGAGCAAGGCUUUGGGGAAAAAGGAAGUAGACAGAGGAGGCAGGGGGUACUCUGUGGUUGUUGGGUGCUAAUGCAGCCUGGCUGUUUAUACACUGAUGAUGAUCUGAGAGCCUUCAGCAAUGGAAAGUCAUCUACUUCUGUCUUGCUACCAGCUUGUAAAAUGUGGACAUACAAAUA